GGGGAUUUAGCUCAGUGGUAGAGCGUUUGCCUAGCAAGCGCAAGGCCCUGGGUUCCGUCCCCAGCUCCG
rfam:Rattus norvegicus chromosome 6, whole genome shotgun sequence.